rnacentral:tRNA from 1 species
GACAGCAUGACCGAGUGGUUAAGGUGCAUGUAUGUUGAUCAUGUGGGUUCGCCCGCACAGGUUCGAAUCCUGUUGCUGUCG